rnacentral:ncRNA from 1 species
AGGUGCAUUCAGCUUAAUAGAGAAGUGAGUAAAAAUCUCCACGGUCCCGCCGCUGUGAAUGCCGGAAAGCAGUGAUCCGCUUUCAGAUGAUGAGGUUAGCCACUGGGUCCUGCACCCGGGAAGGUUCAUCGGAAUCGGCAUGAGUCAGAAGACCUGCCUGUACUGUU